rnacentral:tRNA from 1 species
GGGACCGUGGUGUAGGGGUAAGCGUGGUUGUCCAUCACCCAAUCGGAUUGGGUUCGAUUUCGAACUGUCCCG